rnacentral:rRNA from 1 species
AUUGCCCGCUGGCGGCAUGCCUUACACAUGCAAGUCGAACGGCAGCACGGGUGCUUGCACCUGGUGGCGAGUGGCGAACGGGUGAGUAAUACAUCGGAACAUGUCCUGUAGUGGGGGAUAGCCCGGCGAAAGCCGGAUUAAUACCGCAUACGAUCUACGGAUGAAAGCGGGGGACCUUCGGGCCUCGCGCUAUAGGGUUGGCCGAUGGCUGAUUAGCUAGUUGGUGGGGUAAAGGCCUACCAAGGCGACGAUCAGUAGCUGGUCUGAGAGGACGACCAGCCACACUGGGACUGAGACACGGCCCAGACUCCUACGGGAGGCAGCAGUGGGGAAUUUUGGACAAUGGGCGAAAGCCUGAUCCAGCAAUGCCGCGUGUGUGAAGAAGGCCUUCGGGUUGUAAAGCACUUUUGUCCGGAAAGAAAUCCUUGGCUCUAAUACAGUCGGGGGAUGACGGUACCGGAAGAAUAAGCACCGGCUAACUACGUG